UCGAAACAAAAGUACUGUUUU
rnacentral:piRNA from 1 species